GAUGAACGCUGGCGGCGUGCUUAAUACAUGCAAGUCGAACGGUCAAGUCGGAGCUUUCUCUGCUUGAUCUUUGCCGCGCGCGUGUGUAUCACAUGAGCAUUCUCUCCCUGUCUCACUGAGAAGCGCUCGAAACGGCGUCUCAUACUCCAUACGAUCUGCUAAAGCAUCUUCAUCAGCUGUAAAAAAUGUCUUUCCGGGCUGGGCUCGCUGGCUAUCAGCUUGUUUGUGAGGUAAUUGCUCACGAAGGCUUCGACGGGUAGCCUGCCUGAGAGGGUGACCGGCCACACUGGGACUGAGACACGGCGCAGAAUCCUACGGGAGGCAGCAGUGGUGAAUAUUGCACAAUGGGCGAAAGCCUGAUACAGAAACGCCGCGUGAGGGAAGACGGCCUUCGGGUUGUAAACCUCUUUUAGCAGGGAAGAAGAGAAAGUGACGGUACCUGCAGAAAAAGCGCCGGCUAACUACGUG
rnacentral:rRNA from 1 species